AAAAAAACAGAGAAUACAGAGAAAGCUAAUCCUCUCAUUUUUCUCUUUAGAAAAUGAAUUUCUGCUGAAACAGGUAUGUGAUUGAAUGAUUAUGAUGUGGUUUUCCUUGUCUUUGAAUGAUAUGUUGUGCAGUUAUCAAUAGCUAUCAGCUGAGUUUUUGUUGCUUUUUCAUUGGGAGAGUUUGGAGAGUGAGAAGAGGACCCCAUCAUCAUCUAGCAUGGGGCUUUUUGGAUUGACAUAAGGUGGCAACCAUCAGAAGCCAUCUUCCUAGCGGAUUGGUGGUUUAUUUUAUAUCAGAUUGAAUGCUUCUUCUUGAAAGGUUCUAGUUCAUGGUUCGACAGAGGCUACAGAGCAUUUGAAAGAGUACUGCUCAAAAAAUGGUUGCCCUCAUGUAUAUGCUUCCUAGAUCGAAGAGACAAUUGACGUCAAAUCAGAUCUGUGUGCCUAUAAGAUCUCAGCAGGGAUGUCCUUAAGAUUUUUGUGGACAAGCAAUGGUUGAAUAUGCCAACUUGAAUUCUUAUAAUGCAGCUUUCUUUUGAUCUUCUAGAUAAGAUGCUCUCAAACUUCUAAGUUCUACUGGACAAAUCUCACUUCUUUUGGUGCUGGCUGGCUGUUUGUUUCAGUUUUUUUUU